AGGACCAGAUUUCGAUAAACUCACUACUUCAUAAUUCCCACUACUAUGAAGAAAAACACACAAUUCCUCGCUACUUAACGCGCGCGCGCUCUUCCCUUCUACACGGCACUCACACAAAUACAAAACACACGGUGCUUAUCUCUCAAACUCACGGCAUAUACUGGGUCACGGCACCUUCAAUCGGCUUCAUACUUCACACAGCAGUUUCCCAGCAUUCACGGCACUCGUCUAUAUUCACAGUCAUCUUCAAAACUCAUCAAGAAGGCACUCAAUCGACAAUAGGCAUUGAGUUUAAGAAUACACCCUUCAAUUUCAUUCUCCAAUCAUCCUCUAAGCAAAUAACAUUCAAGGUAAAAUGCCACCCAAAAGAAAAGCUAUCGCUCCAAAAAAAGGGAAAUCCAUAGUGGGUUAAAACUUCGAACCUUUGUUAGAGAGCCAACAAAAAUCUAAAUGGAGGAGUGCAGCGAUCCCUAAAUGAGGAAACACGAGGAAAUUUUGAGUCUAGGUGAAAAGACAAGAAGUUCUAUCAAGAGAUUAGUUGAUGAUUUUCAGGGAAGUCUAUUAGAAAGGAUUGUCCACCGCGGUGAUCGGCGCAAAGUUGUUGGAACUCCUCAUGCAGCUUAUCCUACUUUGGUGAGGGAGUUCUUCGCCAACUUCAAUGCUGAAAUUGAUGCCCCAGAGUCAUCACACGUGAACCAAACAUGGGUAAGAGGAUAUGGGAUUGGUGGCCCGAUUCUUAUACAGUAGAGGUAAUGUAUGGCCGCUUCUUACGAAUAGAUUCAUGAAUAAACAGUUGACCUCUGAGCUGAGACACCUUUAUAUCUUCGUCUUCACCAAUACUGAUCCUACAAUCCAGCGAAGUAGGUUCAAUGAAGAAAGGGCCUAACUACUCUAUCAUCUGGCACAGGGACAUAAAAUUGAUUUAGGAUCCUACAUCUUCAGUUUCGUACGAGAGUUGGCCGCAUCGAUCCAUCCUCAGUGUAGUAUCAUGUCUCCCUUCCUUAUCAGUGGGAUUUGUUUGGCUGUCGGGGUACCACUUUUGUCAAAUGAAAAAAUUGCUCCCUAGAUACCCCAAUCAGCAGAAGGACAAUAGAAAAUUCUGAACCUCAGCUCAGAGGGGGCAGAGAGAGUACGUAAUCCUGAGCAAGCACAUCCACCACUAUAGUAUGCUCUAGAUACCAACACAGCCCUCCUGAGUAGACAGUUGGCUCAGAUGCAGGUAACCCAGGUGGAGCUAGGUACAUUAGUUGGCCAAAUAACAGAUGUUUUGGAGGCGAUACAGACACAGCUAGACAUCCAGAGAGAGCUGCUGAGAGUGAGUGGCCAGCUACAGGGUUUCCAACAAAGUGAUGACGGGGCAUGAUAUGACCAUAGAACCAUCACAUCACGUAUGCUUACAAUCAGGUGCACAAGCAGAUGCUACACUUUGAGAGUCAACUGGAGACAAUAGACAAAAAUGUCAUCUAGCUAGCGAGGACCGUUGACUCCUUGAGGCUCACUACUCAUACCAGUCAAUCGGACAAGCCAUAUCCUGCUACUCAUCCACAUAUACCCCGAGGAGUAUAUGAUUCCUUACUCAUUUAUUUAUGAUUAUUUUUACUUCUACAUUGGGGCAACGUAUUAUUCUCGUUUGGGGUGGAUGGACAAGUAUCAUGAUAUUGAUACUAAUUAUAUUUGACAUUUCAACUACUAAUCAGGUCUGUAUAACUAUUUAACAGUCUAAAAAAUUGUAAAAUUCAAAAAUAGUAUCAAGCUUAGCAUUGACUAGCUUGCCGCCUGUGAUAAUAUUUAAUUGAAUUGAGUAUAGCUUUAGUUAGAAUACUGGACAACACCAUAACAUGUGCCUUUACUUGAGUACUUAUUAUUGUUAAAUUUAAUUAUUUGAGCACAUAGUCAUAUUGACUUA